UCCAGUUGAUCCUGCUGGAGGCCGCUGCUAUUGGGAUCCGAUUAAGCCAUGCAAGUCCUGGGGACCUUCGGGUCACCGGCAAACUGCUCAGUAACACGUCGAUAAUCUGCCCUUGAGUCGGGGACAGCCUUGGGAAACUGAGGGUAAACCCUGAUAGGGGAUAAUUCUGGAACGAAUUUUCCUUUAAAAGAAAUGCUCAAGGAUGAGUUGGCGGCGGAUUAGCUAGUUGGUGGGGUAAUGGCCCACCAAGGCGAUGAUCCGUAGGGGCCUUGGAAGAGGUAGCCCCGAGAAGGACACUGAGAUACUGGUCCUAGCCCUACGGGGUGCAGCAGGCGCGAAACCUUUACACUACACGAAAGUGUGAUAAGGGGAUCCCAAGUGCCUAUACUCUGUAUAGGUUUUUUUUCAAGAGUAAAGAUCUUGGAGAAUAAGUGGUGGGAAAGACUGGUGCCAGCAGCCGCGGUAAUACCAGCGCCACGAGUGGGGGCCGUGUUUAUUGGGCCUAAAGCGUUCGUAGCAGGCUCUGUUAAUCUCUUGUGAAAUCGUCGGGCUUAACUCGACGGCGUGCAGGAGACACUGCAGAACUAGAGACCGGGAGGAGUCAGAGGUAUUCCGGGGGGAGCGGUAAAAUGCUAUAAUCCCCGGAGGACCACCUGUGGCGAAGGCGUCUGACUAGAACGGGUCUGACUGUGAGGAACGAAAGCCAGGGGAGCAAACCGGAUUAGAUACCCGAGUAGUCCUGGCCGUAAACGCUGCGAGCAAGGUGUCGCAUAUUCUACAUGAAUAUGCGGUGUCGAAAUGAAGAUGUUAAGCUCGCCGCCUGGGAAGUACGGUCGCAAGACUGAAACUUAAAGGAAUUGGCGGGGGCUCACUACAAGGGGUGCGGCGUGCGGUUUAAUUGAACUCAACACCGGGAAUCUCACCAGGAGCGACGGCAGAAUGAGGGUCAGUCUAAUGGGCUUACCUGACGAGCCGAGAGGUGGUGCAUGGCCGUCGUCAGCUCGUGCUGUAAAGUGUCCUGUUAAGUCAGGCAACGAGCGAGACCUGCAUCCACAAUUGCCAACAGCUCUAUCAGAGGACUGGGCACAUUGUGGAGACUGCCUUGGAAACGAGGAGGAAGGUGCAGGCUACGGUAGGUCUGUAUGCCCCGAAUCCCCUGGGCUACACGCGCGCAACAAUGGUAGGGACAAUGGGAUGCAACUCUGAAAAGAGGAGCUAAUCCUCCAAACCCUAUCCUAGUCCAGAUUGAGGGCUGCAACUCGCCCUCAUGACGUCGGAAUCCCUAGUAAUCGGAUGUCACCAGCAUCCGGUGAAUACGUCCCUGAGCUUUGCACACACCGCCCGUCAAACCACCCGAGCAGUGUUUGGGUGAGGCGUAGCCUCUUAGUUACGUCGAACCUAAGCUCAGUGAGGAGGGUUAAGUCGUCACAAGGUA
rnacentral:rRNA from 1 species